CUUUGAUUAAAGUCCUAUAUGUACUAUACAGUAUACGAGUAUACACAAGAUUUACAUAUAUGUUUGAUUUUAGUUUUAAAGCCAUACAGAGAUACUUCUUGUGGAUUUUAAGUCAAUGGUAAUGUUAUUCCAAGCCUUAGCUCCUCUGUACAGCCUCGUACCCAGACUCUUUAGUAAUAAAUAUCGGUUUCAGAGCUCUUGGUGAGUUUUUGAGGAGGGACCUCCCCAAGAAUCCCCGCGCGCUUAAAAGCUCACCCAGAGCUCUGAAGCUGCUAUAUUUAUUACUAAAGAACCUGGGUACGAGACUGUUUUCAGUAGGCAAAACCUUUUUCAUGUAAUUUGUAUUUGGCUUAGGUAUAAUGCUCAAUUAAAUUCUCUCUGUCUCGAAUUAUCAUGUAUUUCAAACUCUUUCCCAUCGUCGAAUUAACUGGAGACCAGGCUUCCAAGACACAUUCAUGGUGGAAAAGUGAGCCAAAGUUUGCCCAUUCCCUUAUACCAACUCGAUAAUUCAACACUGAUUACAGUGUCAGAAUAAUAUGAAACUGGUUUUUCGUAUCUCUGAGGAUGAUUCUGAAAUAGAACUAUAAAUCUUGCCAAGGUUACUACUGUUAAUCCUGAAUCUUGUCUCGAAAUUGAGAGGUCGAUAUAAACCAAUUUAAUUGUUUACCUGGCUACACGCUCAUCUUGGAUGAGGAACAUGUCCAUCUUGGAACUUUAAAGAUCGAAGCACUCGGUAAAAACACUCUUUUAAAAUUUCCCUGGUUAGCGUAGAAAUAACACUAUAAUACUUUUUGUUUGUGGAAGCACCACGUAAAUUUAUUACUGCAAUAAAUCAAAUUAAAUAAAUAAAUUUUUGCUGUAAGAAAUAACACUAUUUGGGUUAAAUUAACUUAACAUUCCUGGUUAAUUUCCUGGUCAUUUUAACCAUUAUAGUCUGGUUAAUGUGACCAGGACGUCCUGGUUAAAUUCAAACCAGACUAUGCUAGGUGGAUAAAUAACCGGGGGCCCUAUAGUUAUAUUAUCUGCCUAAGGGACCGGUCAUUAAUUACAGGGGGCUGGGCGAAAAAGAGGGGUCCGAUGUUUUUGUGCAUGAAAAAAGGGGGGCAAACAUGUUUGUUCAAUUUAUAUUAUUUAUAUAAUUAUUAUUUAUAUGUAUAUUAUUUAUAUAUCUGCCCCGCAUGACCCCGUCGUACUAUAAAACCUGCAGAUCAAAAUAGAGAGCAGUAGAACUGCAGUAAACUCCAACACAACACCAUUUAUUAAACUGAUUUCAACAUAAACAUGUACAUUGGAACAGCCGUUGACUCAAUAAAUGGUAAAGAAUAUAUAAAUUACGGUACAGGUAGUAUGAUUAAAUGUGGCUUCACUUUAUAACAACUUUAAAUUACGUAUAUGCCUUUUGUUAUUGC